rnacentral:rRNA from 1 species
UACGUAGGGGCCUAGCGUUGUCCGGAUUUAUUGGGCGUAAAGAGCUCGUAGGCGGUUCGGUAAGUCAGGUGUGAAAUCUCCACGCUCAACGUGGAGGCGCCACCUGAAACUGCCGUGACUCGAGUCCGGUAGGGGAGUGUGGAAUCCUGGUGUGAGCGGUGAAAUCGCGCAGAUAUCAGGAGGAACACCGAUGGCGAAGGCAGGUCUCCUGGGCCGACUACUGCGCUGAGAAGCGAAAGCAUGGGGAGCGAACAGG